rnacentral:rRNA from 1 species
UACAGAGGUCUCAACCGUUGUUCGGAUUCAUUGGGCGUAAAGGGUGCGUAGGCGGUCGGGUAAGUCGGAUGUGAAAUCUCAGGGCUCAACCCUGAAACUGCAUUCGAUACUGCCUGGCUAGGGUACUGGAGAGGAGACUGGAAUUUACGGUGUAGCAGUGAAAUGCGUAGAUAUCGUAAGGAAGACCAGUGGCGAAGGCGAGUCUCUGGACAGUUACCGACGCUGAGGCACGAAGGUCAGGGGAGCAAACAGG